rnacentral:snRNA from 1 species
GAAGAAAAGGUGUUCACUUCUAAAACUGAAACAGCUCUGGGAAGAUUAGCAAGGCCCUGAGCAAGGAUGACAUGCUAAUUCAUGGAGCAUUCAAUAUUCUU